GACGUAGGGGGCGAGCGUUGUCCGGAGUUACUGGGCGUAAAGGGCGCGUAGGCGGUCUAGCAAGUCAGGUGUAAAAGGCCACGGCUCAACCGUGGAUAUGCAUCUGAAACUGCUAGGCUAGAGGGCAGGAGAGGGGAGUGGAAUUCCCGGUGUAGCGGUGAAAUGCGUAGAUAUCGGGAGGAAGGCCGGUGGCGAAGGCGGCCUCCUGGGCCUGCACUGACGCUGAGGCGCGAAAGCGUGGGGAGCAAACAGG
rnacentral:rRNA from 1 species